rnacentral:rRNA from 1 species
UACGGGGGGGGCAAGCGUUGUUCGGAAUUACUGGGCGUAAAGGGCUCGUAGGCGGCCAACUAAGUCAGACGUGAAAUCCCUCGGCUUAACUGGGGAACUGCGUCUGAUACUGGAUGGCUUGAGUUUGGGAGAGGGAUGCGGAAUUCCAGGUGUAGCGGUGAAAUGCGUAGAUAUCUGGAGGAACACCGGUGGCGAAGGCGGCAUUCUGGACCGACAUUGACGCUGAGGAGCGAAAGCCAGGGGAGCAAACAGG